AGAGUUUGAUCCUGGCUCAGGAUGAACGCUGGCGGUGUGCCUGAGAUAUGCAAGUCGAGCGAAAACUAAGAGAGCUUGCUCUUUUAGUUUUAGCGGCGGACGGCUGAGUAACACGUAGGAAUUUUCCCCUAGGUAGAGGAUAGCUCACCGAAAGGUGGGGUAAUACUCUAUGGUACCCUGAUUUAUCAGGGUUAAAGGCUUCGGCCGCCAAGGGAUGAACCUGCGUCCUAUCAGGUAGUUGGUGAGGUAAUGGCUCACCAAGCCAAUGACGGGUAGCUGGCCUCAUGAGGGUGGUCAGCCAGAGGGGGACUGAGACACGGCCCCCACUCCUACGGGAGGCAGCAAUCAGGAAUAGUCGGCAAUGGGCGAAAGCCUGACCGCGCGACACCGCGUGUAGGAAUAAGUACGAAAGUAUGUAAACUACUGUGGUAGGGGAAGAAGAUCCGCAAGGAUUUGACGGUACCCUACUAGAAAGGAGCCGCUAACUGCGUGCCAGAAGCGUCGGUAAUACGUGGGCUUCAAGCAUUAUCCGGUCUUAUUGGGCAUAAAGGGUCGUGUAGGUGGUUAUAUAAGUUAUCUUUUAAAUUCCAACGCUUAACGUUGGGCAUGGAGAUAAGACUAUAUGGCUAGAAUUUCCUUAAGGGAGAAUGGAACUGAGAGAGGAGUAGUGAAAUGCGUUGAUACUCUCGGGAACACCAGUGGCGAAGGCGAUUCUCUGGAAGGAAAUUGACACUGAGACACGAAAGCUAGGGGAGCGAAGCAGAUUAGAGACCUGCGUAGUCCUAGCCCUAAACGAAUGUCUGCUAGCUGCAUUUUUUAGAUUUAUCUAUUAAGUGUGGCGAAAGGUAAUCCGUUAAGCAGACCGCCUGGGGAGUACGGCCGCAAGGCUAAAACUCAAAGGAAUUGACGG
rnacentral:rRNA from 1 species